GGUUGUGUAGUGUAGUGGUCAUCACUCCAGAUUUUGAUCACUUCUAAAUUCUGGUAACCCCGGUUCGAACCCGGGCACGACCU
rnacentral:tRNA from 1 species